ACAAAAACAUAGUUUAAAGAAAAAGAUUUUAGAUAAAUUCUGCUCAAUGAGUAAAUUAAAUAGCUGCAGUAAAUUAACUGUACUAAGGUAGCAUAAUAAGUUGCUUUAUAAUUAAAAGCUUGAAUGAAAGAAAUAAUGUGAAACAAGCUUUUUAAACUAAAGUAGUAAAAAUUAAUAUUUAAGUGAAAAAUCUUAAAUAAAAUCAAAAGACAAGAAGACCCUUUAGAACUUUACAAAUUAACUUAAUUUCAUUUGGUUAAUUUGUUAGAUUGGGGAGAUUUUUAAAUAAAUAAAUCUUUAGAUAUAAAAAAAUGAUUUAAAUCAAAUUAAAUUAUCCAAAUAUGAAAUAAAACAAGUUACCUAAGGGAUAACAGCGCAAAAUUUUUGAGAAGUUCUCAUUUACAAAAUAAAUUGCGACCUCGAUGUUGGAUUAAGAACAACUUAUAAAGCAAAAAUUUAUAAGAGUGGUCCGUCCCGCCCAAUAUUA
rnacentral:rRNA from 1 species